GGCGCUGUGGCGCAGCGGGUUAACGCCCUGGCCUGAAGCACCAGCAUCCCAUACGGGCACCGGUUCUAGUCCCGUCUGCUCCU
rnacentral:tRNA from 1 species